GAUGAACGCUGGCGGCGUGCCUAAUACAUGCAAGUCGAGCGAACAGACGAGGAGCUUGCUCCUCUGACGUUAGCGGCGGACGGGUGAGUAACACGUGGAUAACCUACCUAUAAGACUGGGAUAACUUCGGGAAACCGGAGCUAAUACCGGAUAAUAUAUUGAACCGCAUGGUUCAAUAGUGAAAGACGGUUUUGCUGUCACUUAUAGAUGGAUCCGCGCCGCAUUAGCUAGUUGGUAAGGUAACGGCUUACCAAGGCAACGAUGCGUAGCCGACCUGAGAGGGUGAUCGGCUACACUGGAACUGAGACACGGUCCAGACUCCUACGGGAGGCAGCAGUAGGGAAUCUUCCGCAAAGGGCGAAAGCCUGACGGAGCAACGCCGCGUGAGUGAUGAAGGUCUUCGGAUCGUAAAACUCUGUUAUUAGGGAAGAACAAAUGUGUAAGUAACUAUGCACGUCUUGACGGUACCUAAUCAGAAAGCCACGGCUAACUACGUG
rnacentral:rRNA from 1 species